UACAGAGGUCUCAAGCGUUGUUCGGAUUCAUUGGGCGUAAAGGGUGCGUAGGCGGCGCGGUAAGUCAGGUGUGAAAUCUCGGGGCUCAACGUCCGAAACUGCACUUGAUACUGCCUUGCUCGAGUACUGGAGAGGAGAUUGGAAUUUACGGUCUAGCAGUGAAAUGCGUAGAUAUCGUAAGGAAGACCAGUGGCGAAGGCGAAUCUCUGGACAGUUACUGACACUGAGGCACGAAGGCCAGGGGAGCAAACAGG
rnacentral:rRNA from 1 species